rnacentral:rRNA from 1 species
CCAGUAACGGCGAGUGAAGCGGCAACAGCUCAAAUUUGAAAUCUGGCCCUCGGGUCCGAGUUGUAAUUUGUAGAGGAUGCUUUUGGCGAGGUGCCUUCCGAGUUCCCUGGAACGGGACGCCAUAGAGGGUGAGAGCCCCGUCUGGUCGGACACCGAGCCUCUGUAAAGCUCCUUCGACGAGUCGAGUAGUUUGGGAAUGCUGCUCAAAAUGGGAGGUAUAUGUCUUCUAAAGCUAAAUAUUGGCCAGAGACCGAUAGCGCACAAGUAGAGUGAUCGAAAGAUGAAAAGCACUUUGAAAAGAGGGUUAAAAAGUACGUGAAAUUGUUGAAAGGGAAGCGCCUAUGACCAGACUUGAGCCCGGUGAAUCAUCCAGCGUUCUCGCUGGUGCACUUUGCCGGGCCCAGGCCAGCAUCAGUUUGGCGCGGGGGAUAAAGGUGACGGGAAUGUGGCUCCCUCGGGAGUGUUAUAGCCCGCUACGUAAUACCCUGCGCCGGACUGAGGUACGCGCAUUGCAAGGAUGCUGGCGUAAUGGUCAUCAGCGACCCGUCUUGAAACACGGACCCAAGGAGUCGUCUUCGUAUGCGAGUGUUCGGGUGUCAAACCCCUACGCGUAAUGAAAGUGAACGCAGGUGAGAGCUUCGGCGCAUCAUCGACCGAUCCUGAUGUUCUCGGAUGGAUUUGAGUAAGAGCAUACGGGGCCGGACCCGAAAGAAGGUGAACUAUGCCUGUAUAGGGUGAAGCCAGAGGAAACUCUGGUGGAGGCUCGCAGCGGUUCUGACGUGCGAAUCGAUCGUCAAAUAUGGGCAUGGGGGCGA